rnacentral:rRNA from 1 species
ACUCCUACGGGAGGCAGCAGUGGGGAAUCUUGGGACAAUGGGGGCAACCCUGAUCCAGCCAUGCCGCGUGAGUGAUGAAGGCCCUAGGGUCGUAAAGCUCUUUCGCCUGUGAAGAUAAUGACUGUAGCAGGUAAAGAAACCCGCGUACAUCCGUGCCAGCAGCCGCGGUAAUACGGAGGGGGUUAGCGUUGUUCGGAAUUACUGGGCGUAAAGCGCGCGUAGGCGGACUGG